rnacentral:tRNA from 1 species
GGGUAUCGCCAAGCGGUAAGGCACCGGUUUUUGAUACCGGCCACAUCACUCAUAAUGAUGGGGUCACAGGUUCGAAUCCCGUCGUAGCCACCA